rnacentral:rRNA from 1 species
GGCGACGAUCAGUAGCUGGUUUGAGAGGAUGAUCAGCCACAAUGGGACUGAGACACGGCCCAUACUCCUACGGGAGGCAGCAGUAGGGAAUUUUGCGCAAUGGAGGAAACUCUGACGCAGCAACACCGCGUGAGUGAUGACGCCCUUUGGGGUGUAAAGCUCUGUCAGUGGGGACGAAAUUUGACGGUACCCACAGAGGAAGCAUCGGCUAACUACGUGCCAGCAGCCGCGGUAAGACGUAGGAUGCAAGCGUUGUCCGGAAUCAUUGGGCGUAAAGCGUUCGUAGGCGGCAUGUUAAGUUUGAUGUUAAAGCCCGGGGCUCAACUCCGGUUCGGCAUUGGAUACUGGCAAGCUAGAAUACGGUAGAGGCAAGGGGAAUUCCUGGUGUAGCGGUGAAAUGCGUAGAUAUCAGGAGGAACACCGGUGGCGAAAGCGCCUUGCUGGGCCGUUAUUGACGCUGAGGAACGAAAGCCAGGGGAGCGAAUGGGAUUAGAUACCCCAGUAGUCCUGGCCGUAAACGAUGGAUACUAGGUGUUGUGGGUAUCGACCCCUACAGUGCCGUAGUUAACGCGA